GAGUCAGAGCUGAGUGUGCAGGACUGAACGGGGAAGGAAGUGCUCACCUUCUCUGCACGAUCUUCGGAAGGUCAAGGUGGAAUCCAUUUCAUUCUUAAUCUUGAUUAAAGCAUCCAGCACCAUAGGACCACAUCUGACCAAA